rnacentral:lncRNA from 1 species
AUAGAUAAGCCCAAUAUGAAAUGAUUUAUGGAUAUAACAAUAGUCUCCCAAGUUUGAGUCGUUCAUUCAUGUGUGUGUCGGACUUCGAAAUAUAAGUAGUUAAGUAGACAAGGUCUUACAAAUUACCUCAAAAAUAUGAGUAGCUCUAACAAAUAAGGACUUACAAAUUGCCCUGAAAAUAUGCAUCGGUCCAAUAGGUGAGGAAUUAAAAAUUGCCUAGAGAAUAUUAGC